rnacentral:sRNA from 1 species
UUUUAUUAUUAUCCAUACUUUUGUAAUUUUAGUUUGGGAAAAAAGCCGAAAAAACCCUCAUUUAUUUUUAAUUUGGCCGUUUAAUACCUGUAUUUUUAAAAUUGGAAGAAAAAUACAUAAAUUAAUUUUGAUUGUCUACUAAAACCCUGGUCUUUUAAAUAUUGGAUAUUUCCUGCUCCCGAGUUAACGACUGUUAGUUUUGGUAACGGAACUUCUAACUGCGGUUAAAACAUAACUCUCGGUAUUUCCACAUAUAUAUUCAAUCUCUAAUAACUAUCUGACGAAUUAAUUUUCUUAGUCUGUUGGUAAGAAGUGGGGUGAAAUUUCACCCAUAUCCGGGUUCGAACCCAACAGUAUAUUUUUUGACGUUUUUUUCUUUCUUUUUUUUGUCUUAAUUUAAUUGAAGAAGGAAGAAUGGAGGUGGUGGUGGUGGAGAGGACGACGGAGAUGGCAGAGCAAUGGGUAUUCUCAACCACCAGAUCUGAAAACUUUUUCUAUGCAUAACCUCGACGAGAAACUUAUGUGUAGAUUUUGAGAUUUGAUUUGAUAUUUCUAGGGCUUUUACUUUCUUCUCUGUAGAUACAUGUUUAGGAUUUGUA